CUACUCCUAGGACCCAGUACUGUGCCUGGAUACAUGAAAGGGCCAUGGAUACAUUUGACUGCAACACAUUGAGAGCAUUAACGAUGUGAAGAUGGUCUACCUGUUGCACCUAUAACCAGCCAGGAACAGAAGCCAGACAACAGGAACCAGGACUGGAACUGGACCCUCAGGAAUUAGGAACACAGGCACCACCAACAGGAGCCACCAGCUAAGAAGUUGCCAACAGGACCAAAGAUCUUCUGGAACAAGCAGAUUACACGCUCAGGUCACAUGAUGUUUCCCACCUUUUGGGUUGCCAGGCAGACUACAACUGUCUCUGAGCAUUUUUCAAAAGCUUUUCGCCAACUAAACAUUAGCACCAAAAAGGGUGCCAACCAUGGCAACAAGAAGGAAGCCCACGAUGGAGGAUGAACUGACUGCAGCCUAAACAAAAUUGCUAAACCAGGUGACACCUAUCCCAUGGAUGAGCCAGGAAGCCCAUGUUCUAAGGACAUACAGGCAUGUGUCUGAGGACU